rnacentral:rRNA from 1 species
UACCUUGACGGGAGAGCGUUACUAGUCUUUACUGAGCGUAAAGUACGGCUAGACUGUUUAAGAAGUUACGUGAUAAACCCAAAAAUUGAGUUAAUUAACAAGUAAAACCUUAAUACUAGAGAUAUUAGGAAGUUAGUGAUACUUAUAACCUAGAGAUAAAAUAUUAUAAGGUUAUUAGGGAUCCUCGGAGGCCUCGGCGACUUUCUACUAAUAUUCUGACGUCGAACCGUUUAAGUACGAGUAUCAAAUAGGAUUGGAGACCCUAGUAGUUCGUACCUUGAAUCAAUGGGCAUUGCAUGUAAAGUAAAUUAAAACUUUGUGUGUACGUUAACGCUUAAAUGCCUCGCUUGGGGAGUAAGGCUGCAAAGGUUAAACUUAAACAGAUUGGCGGGAGUUUGUUUGAACGGUGGAGCGUGUGGAUUAAUUCGACAAUCCACGCCUAAUCUUACCAACGUAUUGAAAUAAUUUAUUGUAUUGUUUUGCGGCAUAUAACGUAAGUUAUUUAAUUGGUACUGCAUGGCUGUCGUCAGCUCGUGUUGUAGAAUGUUAUAUUUAUUUACUCAACGAACGUAACCUUCAAUGUAAUUUUUAAAUAUUUUACUUGUUAAAGAUACGUAUUAUUUUUCGUGAAUAUGCGCUUAACGAGGUAAUAUUUAGUUUACUUUUUAUGACAAAGAGGAUAAUCAAAAUUUAUUUUAACUAGUAUUUAUUAAUUUUAUUUAAAUAAAUAAUCUUUUUUGGGGUAGAGGAGGAGAAGUCAAGUCAUUAUGGUCUAUAUAUGUUGGGCUUCACAUGCGCUACAAGGGUGAAUACAAUGAGACGCUAUAGUGAAAACUAAAGCUAAACUUUAAAAAUCAUCGAAGUUCGGAUUGUAGGCUGAAACUCGCCUGCAUGAAGUUGGAAUCGUUAGUAAUCGCAAAUCAGCAUGUUGCGGUGAAUGAUCUGUCAAACUU